rnacentral:tRNA from 1 species
GAGGGUGUAGCUCAGUGCACAGUGCCUGCUUAGCAGGCAUGCGGUCCUGGGUUUAAUCCCAGUACCUCCA